rnacentral:rRNA from 1 species
AUGGACGAAGUUACUGAUGAAGCAAUUGGUGCAAAGCUCAAUAUUUUAUAUACACAGAAAAGGGCAGUUUCUUCAGAACUUGCCACUGCUCAUGCAUGUGAAAAGAACAUAGCUGAUAAAAACAAGUCUCUUAAGCACAAGGAUCGAAUGCAUCCUUACAUUAGCAGAUUCCCGUCGUUGCAUUUCUAUGAAAACAAACUGCUGGAUGGUGCUCAGAAGGCUGAGAAAUCAGAUCCUUUCCAUGAUCACCGUUGUCUUGGUCCAUACAUGUUCUUUGAUAUUGCCGAUGGUCGUGAGCAUGCUAGAACAAGUGCUGCUGCACAAUCACUCUCUAAUCAAUUUGAAGCUGGUGCAGCACUUGAAAUACUGUCAUUUUUAAAUAACAAGUGUGAGCUUGAGGAAGAAGGAGACGGCAAGUGA